UGCGUAGGUGGUUGGUUAAGUUUGAGGUGAAAGCUCCGAGCUCAACUCGGAAAUGCCUUGAAGACUAUCUGACUAGAGGAUUGGAGGGGAGAUUGGAAUUCUCGGUGUAGCAGUGAAAUGCGUAGAUAUCGAGAGGAACACCAGUGGCGAAGGCGAAUCUCUGGACAAUUCCUGACACUGAGGCACGAAAGCCAAGGGAGCAAACG
rnacentral:rRNA from 1 species